rnacentral:rRNA from 1 species
CUGACUGCUAUCGGAUUGGUACUAAGCCAUGCGAGUCAUUGUAGCAAUACAAGGCGGACGGCUCAGUAACACGUAAUCAACCUAACUCGUGGACGUGGAUAACCUCGGGAAACUGAGAAUAAACCACGAUAGAUCAUAGUGCCUGGAAUGGCUUAUGGUCCAAACAGUUUACUGCCAUGGGAUGGGACUGCGGCCUAUCAGCUUGUUGGUGAGGUAAUGGCCCACCAAGGCGAUUACAGGUACGGGCUCUGAGAGGAGAAGCCCGGAGAUGGGUACUGAGACACGGACCCAGGCCCUAUGGGGCGCAGCAGGCGAGAAACCUUAGCAAUGUGCGAAAGCACGACUGGGUCAGUCCGAGUGAUUCCUGAUAAAGGAGUCUUUUGCCUGUCCUAAAAGCACAGGUGAAUAAGGGGUGGGCAAGUCUGGUGUCAGCCGCCGCGGUAAUACCAGCACCUCGAGUGGUCAGGACGUUUAUUGGGCCUAAAGCAUCCGUAGCCGGCUCUGCAAGUCUUCGGUUAAAUCCACCUGCUCAACAGAUGGGCCGCUGGAGAUACUACAGAGCUAGGGAGUGGGAGAGGCAGACGGUAUUCAGUGGGUAGGGGUAAAAUCCUCUGAUCCAUUGAGGACCACCAGUGGCGAAGGCGGUCUGCCAGAACACGUUCGACGGUGAGGGAUGAAAGCUGGGGGAGCAAACCGGAUUAGAUACCCGGGUAGUCCCAGCUGUAAACGAUGCAAACUCGGUGAUGCAUUGGCUUAUGGCCAAUGCAGUGCCGCAGGGAAGCCGUUAAGUUUGCCGCCUGGGAAGUACGGACGCAAGUCUGAAACUUAA